CCUUGUGGAGGAGGACGCCGAAGGUGGGGCUAAUGACUGGGGUGAAGUCGUAACAAGGUAGCCGUACCGGAAGGUGCGGCUGGAUCACCUCCUAACAGGGAGACAACAAAAUGUUUAAUAUUAUUAUUUUGUCACCUUAGGUCGAUCGGUAUCUCACGUUUUUAAUUUAUUAAGAAUUUCAUUUCCUAAGUUUUUCUAGGUCACACCCAUUAUUUUUCCUGGGCCAUUAGCUCAGGUGGUUAGAGCGCACCCCUGAUAAGGGUGAGGUCCCUGGUUCAAGUCCAGGAUGGCCCAUAUCUCUAUGUUGGGGGUAUAGCUCAGUUGGUAGAGCGCCUGCUUUGCAAGCAGGAUGUCAGCGGUUCGAGUCCGCUUACCUCCACUGAUCACCACCUCUUCCAUAAUCGGUAGAAAGGAAAUUUUUUGAGUUGUGAUCAAAUUCUGAAAGAAUCUAGCUUCCUAAUGAAAUCAUUAAGAUGCUGGACUCAUUGAAUUAAUUUUCAUUGUUUUCAGAGAACCUUGACAACUGCAUAGAUUAUUUUUAAAGACAAUAAGCAUCUUUAAUGAUGCAGAUUUAUUAUUUGUGCAAAUGCAUUAAUAACAAUUCUAUUAAGCUGAUGCUUCAAAAUUUGAAGUUAUUGGUCAAGCUACAAAGGGCUCACGGAGGAUACCUAGGCACACAGAGGCGA
rnacentral:misc_RNA from 1 species